rnacentral:rRNA from 1 species
AUACGUAGGGUGCGAGCGUUGUCCGGAAUUACUGGGCGUAAAGAGCUCGUAGGUGGUUUGUCGCGUCGUCUGUGAAAUUCCGGGGCUUAACUCCGGGCGUGCGGGCGAUACGGGCAUAACUUGAGUACUGUAGGGGAGACUGGAAUUCCUGGUGUAGCGGUGAAAUGCGCAGAUAUCAGGAGGAACACCGGUGGCGAAGGCGGGUCUCUGGGCAGUAACUGACGCUGAGGAGCGAAAGCAUGGGUAGCGAACAGGAUUAGAUACCCUGGUAGUCCAUGCCGUAAACGGUGGGCGCUAGGUGUAGGGGUCUUCCACGACUUCUGUGCCGUAGCUAACGCAUUAAGCGCCCCGCCUGGGGAGUACGGCCGCAAGGCUAAAACUCAAAUGAAUUGACGGGG